rnacentral:rRNA from 1 species
AUUGAACGCUGGCGGCAUGCCUUACACAUGCAAGUCGAACGGCAGCACGGGUGCUUGCACCUGGUGGCGAGUGGCGAACGGGUGAGUAAUACAUCGGAACAUGUCCUGUAGUGGGGGAUAGCCCGGCGAAAGCCGGAUUAAUACCGCAUACGAUCUACGGAUGAAAGCGGGGGACCUUCGGGCCUCGCGCUAUAGGGUUGGCCGAUGGCUGAUUAGCUAGUUGGUGGGGUAAAGGCCUACCAAGGCGACGAUCAGUAGCUGGUCUGAGAGGACGACCAGCCACACUGGGACUGAGACACGGCCCAGACUCCUACGGGAGGCAGCAGUGGGGAAUUUUGGACAAUGGGCGAAAGCCUGAUCCAGCAAUGCCGCGUGUGUGAAGAAGGCCUUCGGGUUGUAAAGCACUUUUGUCCGGAAAGAAAUCCUUGGCUCUAAUACAAUCGGGGGAUGACGGUACCGGAAGAAUAAGCACCGGCUAACUACGUG